AUCGCUUCACAGCCUAUUGGCUAAGAUCAAGUGUAGUAUCUGUUCUUAUCAGUUUAAUAUCUGAUUAAAAAAAAAAAAAGAAUGACUUUGUAGCCAGGUACAGUGGCUCACUCCUGUAAUCCCAGUGCUUUGGAAAGCUGAAGUGAGAGGAUUGCUUGAGGCCAGGAGUUCCAGACUACCCUGGACAACAU
ensembl:snRNA U2 U2 spliceosomal RNA